GGGCCCAAGCUUGUCUCAAACUCCUGUCUUCAAGUGAUCCUCCCUCCUUGGCCUCCCAAGGUGCUGGGAUUACAGGUGUGAGCUACUGUGUCUGGCCCCAAAGAUUUUAUUUUUAUAAUGACAGAAUAUCAGUGUUAGCAGAGUCCAUUAAAAUUAUAUAUGACAAUCAUCUGUUUAACCCAUUUAUGCCAAAUGUUGCAAUUUUGUGUGUGUGUGUGUGUGUAUGUGUGAAAAAUCAGAACUUGGUGAUGACCUUGAGCAACAGGAUAUACAUAACUGCCACAAGCUUAGCAUUCCAAUAGUGGAACACUAGGCAUAAAUGGGUUAUGGCUUCAGUAUCCUGCAAAAUAUCCCUGUAAGGUAGCUGUCUAUGCUUAAACACCUUGGUCUUAGGAAACUAGGAUUUGUGGAUAUUAGGCAAUGUUAUGGGCUGAUUGUGUCCCCUAAAAUACAUAGGGUGAAGCCCUAAGCUCCUACCAACUGUAUUUGGAGAUAAGGCCUUUGAAGAAGUAAUUAAGGUUUAAUGAGGUCAUAAGGUUGGCACUCUAAUCCACUAGGACUGGCGUCCUUAUAAGGACAGGAAGAGACAUCAGAGGUUCUCUUGAGCUCACAAAGAAAAGGCUGUGUAAGGACACAGCAGCAGAAGGCUAUCUGCAGCCAAAGACAGAGGCCUCAGGAAAAACCAAACCUGAUGACACCUCAGUAUUGGACUUCUAGCCUCCAGAGUUAUAUGGACCCACCUCUCUAUUUUCAAGAGCAUUAAAUUCAGUUAAAAACUAAAAACAAAAAUACUGCCAAGGGAUUGAGACGGUAAAGUAACAUCAUGCCUGAUAGAAUAAACUAUCAAGACAGCAUGAACAAACCCAACUGAAAUGGAACAAGCAAGCUUAACACAAGUCAAAGAAGCUCUCUAGAGUGUUAAAAUGAAAAUACAACUAAACAGAACCAAAACUGCUAUUCAUGGGAAUAGCAAAUGAAGAAUUUUCUUCAGAAUCUACACGGAUAACUUCUAUGAGAUUAUUCAAAAUGUGGAAAUUUUUUUCAGAAUUUUUGUUUCCAAAUGGAAUUUAAUACAUUUCAUGAAACAAAUGAAAUUUUAUCAGAAAUAAAACAUUUAAAUUACCAAAAGCCUAGCCUCCUUAGGAAGGCUGUUUUAGGAAGACAUGGGUAGAAAUAUUUUCAUCAAAGCCCUGAUCAUCUUCCCUUUUUGAGGUGAAAUCACUCUACUCUGCUGGAAACCUACAUUUAGUUAUUUAUAAACCAGUAUUAAAUGUAUAUUGUUUCAAAUCUCUAUGUAGGAAAAAUAUCCCACAUUCAUUCCCAUUUUACUAUGAACUGUAUAAACUUCCAAAAUCAUCAUGAAAAGAAAAA
rnacentral:lncRNA from 1 species